rnacentral:rRNA from 1 species
AUAUCAAUAAGCGGAGGAAAAGAAACCAACAGGGAUUGCCCUAGUAACGGCGAGUGAAGCGGCAACAGCUCAAAUUUGAAAUCUGGCUUCGGCCCGAGUUGUAAUUUGCAGAGGAAGCUUUGGGCGCGGCACCAACUGAGUCCCCUGGAACGGGGCGCCAUAGAGGGUGAGAGCCCCGUAUAGUUGGACGCCUAGCCUGUGUAAAGCUCCUUCGACGAGUCGAGUAGUUUGGGAAUGCUGCUCAAAAUGGGAGGUAAAUUUCUUCUAAAGCUAAAUACCGGCCAGAGACCGAUAGCGCACAAGUAGAGUGAUCGAAAGAUGAAAAGCACUUUGAAAAGAGGGUUAAAUAGCACGUGAAAUUGUUGAAAGGGAAGCGCUUGCAGCCAGACUUGCUUGCAGUUGCUCAUCCGGGCUUUUGCCCGGUGCACUCUUCUGCAGGCAGGCCAGCAUCAGUUUGGGCGGUAGGAUAAAGGUCUCUGUCACGUACCUCUCUUCGGGGAGGCCUUAUAGGGGAGGCGACAUACUACCAGCCUGGACUGAGGUCCGCGCAUCUGCUAGGAUGCUGGCGUAAUGGCUGUAAGCGG